rnacentral:rRNA from 1 species
GGGUUGUGAGGUUAAGCGACUAAGCGUACACGGUGGAUGCCCUGGCAGUCAGAGGCGAUGAAGGACGUGCUAAUCUGCGAUAAGCGUCGGUAAGGUGAUAUGAACCGUUAUAACCGGCGAUUUCCGAAUGGGGAAACCCAGUGUGAUUCGUCACACUAUCAUUAACUGAAUCCAUAGGUUAAUGAGGCGAACCGGGGGAACUGAAACAUCUAAGUACCCCGAGGAAAAGAAAUCAACCGAGAUUCCCCCAGUAGCGGCGAGCGNNNNNNNNNNNNNNNNNNNNNNNNNNNNNNNNNNNNNNNNNNNNNNNNNNNNNNNNNNNNNNNNNNNNGAUGAGUAGGGCGGGACACGUGGUAUCCUGUCUGAAUAUGGGGGGACCAUCCUCCAAGGCUAAAUACUCCUGACUGACCGAUAGUGAACCAGUACCGUGAGGGAAAGGCGAAAAGAACCCCGGCGAGGGGAGUGAAAAAGAACCUGAAACCGUGUACGUACAAGCAGUGGGAGCACGCUUAGGCGUGUGACUGCGUACCUUUUGUAUAAUGGGUCAGCGACUUAUAUUCUGUAGCAAGGUUAACCGAAUAGGGGAGCCGAAGGGAAACCGAGUCUUAACUGGGCGUUAAGUUGCAGGGUAUAGACCCGAAACCCGGUGAUCUAGCCAUGGGCAGGUUGAAGGUUGGGUAACACUAACUGGAGGACCGAACCGACUAAUGUUGAAAAAUUAGCGGAUGACUUGUGGCUGGGGGUGAAAGGCCAAUCAAACCGGGAGAUAGCUGGUUCUCCCCGAAAGCUAUUUAGGUAGCGCCUCGUGAAUUCAUCUCCGGGGGUAGAGCACUGUUUCGGCAAGGGGGUCAUCCCGACUUACCAACCCGAUGCAAACUGCGAAUACCGGAGAAUGUUAUCACGGGAGACACACGGCGGGUGCUAACGUCCGUCGUGAAGAGGGAAACAACCCAGACCGCCAGCUAAGGUCCCAAAGUCAUGGUUAAGUGGGAAACGAUGUGGGAAGGCCCAGACAGCCAGGAUGUUGGCUUAGAAGCAGCCAUCAUUUAAAGAAAGCGUAAUAGCUCACUGGUCGAGUCGGCCUGCGCGGAAGAUGUAACGGGGCUAAACCAUGCACCGAAGCUGCGGCAGCGACGCUUAUGCGUUGUUGGGUAGGGGAGCGUUCUGUAAGCCUGCGAAGGUGUGCUGUGAGGCAUGCUGGAGGUAUCAGAAGUGCGAAUGCUGACAUAAGUAACGAUAAAGCGGGUGAAAAGCCCGCUCGCCGGAAGACCAAGGGUUCCUGUCCAACGUUAAUCGGGGCAGGGUGAGUCGACCCCUAAGGCGAGGCCGAAAGGCGUAGUCGAUGGGAAACAGGUUAAUAUUCCUGUACUUGGUGUUACUGCGAAGGGGGGACGGAGAAGGCUAUGUUGGCCGGGCGACGGUUGUCCCGGUUUAAGCGUGUAGGCUGGUUUUCCAGGCAAAUCCGGAAAAUCAAGGCUGAGGCGUGAUGACGAGGCACUACGGUGCUGAAGCAACAAAUGCCCUGCUUCCAGGAAAAGCCUCUAAGCAUCAGGUAACAUCAAAUCGUACCCCAAACCGACACAGGUGGUCAGGUAGAGAAUACCAAGGCGCUUGAGAGAACUCGGGUGAAGGAACUAGGCAAAAUGGUGCCGUAACUUCGGGAGAAGGCACGCUGAUAUGUAGGUGAAGUCCCUUGCGGAUGGAGCUGAAAUCAGUCGAAGAUACCAGCUGGCUGCAACUGUUUAUUAAAAACACAGCACUGUGCAAACACGAAAGUGGACGUAUACGGUGUGACGCCUGCCCGGUGCCGGAAGGUUAAUUGAUGGGGUCAGCGCAAGCGAAGCUCUUGAUCGAAGCCCCGGUAAACGGCGGCCGUAACUAUAACGGUCCUAAGGUAGCGAAAUUCCUUGUCGGGUAAGUUCCGACCUGCACGAAUGGCGUAAUGAUGGCCAGGCUGUCUCCACCCGAGACUCAGUGAAAUUGAACUCGCUGUGAAGAUGCAGUGUACCCGCGGCAAGACGGAAAGACCCCGUGAACCUUUACUAUAGCUUGACACUGAACAUUGAGCCUUGAUGUGUAGGAUAGGUGGGAGGCUUUGAAGUGUGGACGCCAGUCUGCAUGGAGCCGGCCUUGAAAUACCACCCUUUAAUGUUUGAUGUUCUAACGUGGACCCGUGAUCCGGGUUGCGGACAGUGUCUGGUGGGUAGUUUGACUGGGGCGGUCUCCUCCUAAAGAGUAACGGAGGAGCACGAAGGUUGGCUAAUCCUGGUCGGACAUCAGGAGGUUAGUGCAAUGGCAUAAGCCAGCUUGACUGCGAGCGUGACGGCGCGAGCAGGUGCGAAAGCAGGUCAUAGUGAUCCGGUGGUUCUGAAUGGAAGGGCCAUCGCUCAACGGAUAAAAGGUACUCCGGGGAUAACAGGCUGAUACCGCCCAAGAGUUCAUAUCGACGGCGGUGUUUGGCACCUCGAUGUCGGCUCAUCACAUCCUGGGGCUGAAGUAGGUCCCAAGGGUAUGGCUGUUCGCCAUUUAAAGUGGUACGCGAGCUGGGUUUAGAACGUCGUGAGACAGUUCGGUCCCUAUCUGCCGUGGGCGCUGGAGAACUGAGGGGGGCUGCUCCUAGUACGAGAGGACCGGAGUGGACGCAUCACUGGUGUUCGGGUUGUCAUGCCAAUGGCACUGCCCGGUAGCUAAAUGCGGAAGAGAUAAGUGCUGAAAGCAUCUAAGCACGAAACUUGCCCCGAGAUGAGUUCUCCCUGACCCUUUAAGGGUCCUGAAGGAACGUUGAAGACGACGACGUUGAUAGGCCGGGUGUGUAAGCGCAGCGAUGCGUUGAGCUAACCGGUACUAAUGAACCGUGAGGCUUAACCUUACAACGCCGAAG